UUCCUCAAGACCUAUUUGAGGUACAGCCUGCCCAAUGUUUCAAUCAAUGGCCGCGGUAUUCUGACCGUGCGAAGGUAGCAUAAUCAUUAGUCUCUUAAUUAGAGGCUGGUAUGAACGGCUAAACGAGAAAAGAACUGUCUCUAGUAGAAAAAUUGAAAUUCAUUUUUAAGUGAAAAAGCUUAAAUAUUUCUGAAGGACGAUAAGACCCUAUAGAGCUUUUUUGUUGGGGCGACAGAAAGAUAACAUUCAACUCUUCAUUAAUCAAACAGCUAUCGCUGAAAUCUAGAUCCUUAUUGAAAGAUCAAAAGAACAAGUUACCUUAGGGAUACCAGCGUAAUCCUUUCCAAGAGUUCACAUCGACGAAAGGGUUUGCGACCUCGAUGUUGGAUUAAGAAAUUGCUUAGGUGUAGCCGCUUAAGUAAAAGGUCUGUUCGACCUUUUAAUUCUUACA
rnacentral:rRNA from 1 species